rnacentral:rRNA from 1 species
GACGAACGCUGGCGGCGUGCUUAACACAUGCAAGUCGAACGGAAAGGCCUGCUUUCCCUUGUGGAUUGCGGGUACUCGAGUGGCGAACGGGUGAGUAACACGUGAGUGAUCUGCCCCCAACUUGGGUAUAAGCCUGGGAAACUGGGUCUAAUUCCCGAUAGGACUGCAGGGUGGUGCCUGUGGUGGAAAACGAUUUUCUAGUGGUUGGGGAUGAGCUCGCGGCCUAUCAGCUUGUUGGUGGGGUAAUGGCCUACCAAGGCGGCGACGGGUAGCCGGCCUGAGAGGGUGGACGGCCACAUUGGGACUGAGAUACGGCCCAGGCUCCUACGGGAGGCAGCAGUGGGGAAUAUUGCACAAUGGGCGGAAGCCUGAUGCAGCGACGCCGCGUGGGGGAUGACGGCCUUCGGGUUGUAAACUCCUUUCGACCGCGAGGAAGCCACCUGGUUGGAAGGGUGGUGACGGUAGUGGUAGAAGAAGCACCGGCUAACUACGUG